CAUUGACUGGUUUGACUUCUUCACCUUACUAUUUUUUACUCACACAUUGACAGGUCUGACUUAUUCACCUUACUCAUACAGUCAGUCCAUUGGAAUAAAAGAAAAAAAAAACUGUACACAAUAAAUACACUUGGUAGUCACUAGGUCAACUCUAUUUACACAAGCACAGCCUUCCAUCAAGUCAUGGUACACACACAAACACAUGUGGCAUUACACACAUUCACAUCAGUCUUCACACACAACCGUAUCUCAAUUACACACACACACAUGUGCCACUAGCACGCACACACAAUGGUGUUGGCCCUGCCCUCUGCAGACACAAACACAUCAGCAAAGAAUUGACACAGAGCUAAAACAUUAGUCCAAUUCAAAGUUCAAGUGUUCAAUGGAACUGAAUCCCAGUCCUGUCACACAAACACACAUGUACAGGAAUGGUGUCCUGUCACACAAACACACAUGUACAUGAAUGA